rnacentral:rRNA from 1 species
AGUGAACGCUGGCGGUAGGCCUAACACAUGCAAGUCGAACGGCAGCACAGUAAGAGCUUGCUCUUACGGGUGGCGAGUGGCGGACGGGUGCGGAAUACAUCGGAAUCUACUUUUUCGUGGGGGAUAACGUAGGGAAACUUAUGCUAAUACCGCAUACGUCCUACGGGUGGAAGCAUGGGAUCUUCGGACCUUGCGCGAUUGAAUGAGCCGAUGUCGGAUUAGCUAGUUGGCGGGGUAAUGGCCCACCAAGGCGACGAUCCGUAGCUGGUCUGAGAGGAUGGUCGGCGACACUGGAACUGAGACACGGUCAAGACUCCUACGGGAGGCAGCAGUGGGGAAUAUUGGGCAAUGGGCGCAAGCCUGAUCCAGCCAUACCGCGUGGGUGAAGGAGGCCUUCGGGUUGUAAAGCCCUUUUGUUGGGAAAGAAAAGCAGUAGGUUAAUACCCCGCUGUUCUGACGGUACCCAAUGAAUAAGCACCGGCUAACUUCGUG